rnacentral:rRNA from 1 species
UACGUAGGGUGCGAGCGUUAAUCGGAAUUACUGGGCGUAAAGCGUGCGCAGGCGGUUCGUUGUGUCGGCGGUGAAAGCCCCGGGCUUAACCUGGGAAUGGCCGUUGAAACUGGCGAACUGGAGUGUGGCAGAGGGGGGUGGAAUUCCGCGUGUAGCAGUGAAAUGCGUAGAGAUGUGGAGGAACACCGAUGGCGAAGGCAGCCCCCCUGGGCUAACACUGACGCUCAGGCACGAAAGCGUGGGGAGCAAACAGG